rnacentral:snRNA from 1 species
CCAUCCUAGUACUACUCUCGU